UGGGGAAUUUUGGACAAUGGGGGAAACCCUGAUCCAGCCAUCCUGCGUGUGCGAUGAAGGCCUCCUGGUUGUAAAGCACUUUUGGCAGGAAAGAAACGUCAUGGGUUAAUACCCCGUGAAACUGACGGUACCUGCAGAAUAAGCACCGGCUAACAACGUGCCAGCAGCCGCGGUAAUACGUAGGGUUCAAGCGUUAAUCGGAAUUACUGGGCGUAAAGCGUGCGCAGGCGGAUCGGAAAGAAAGAUGUGAAAUCCCAGAGCUCAACUUUGGAACUGCAUUUUUAACUACCGGACUAGAGUGUGUCAGAGGGAGGUGGAAUUCCGCGUGUAACAGUGAAAUGCGUAGCUAUGCGGAGGAACACCGAUGGCGAAGGCAGCCUCCUGGGAUAACACUGACGCUCAUGCACGAAAGCGUGGGGAGCAAACAGG
rnacentral:rRNA from 1 species